rnacentral:rRNA from 1 species
GCAAACAGGAUUAGAUACCCUGGUAGUCCACACCGUAAACGAUGAUUACUAGGUGUUGGAGGAUUGACCCCUUCAGUGCCGCAGUUAACACAAUAAGUAAUCCACCUGGGGAGUACGACCGCAAGGUUGAAACUCAAAGGAAUUGACGGGGGCCCGCACAAGCAGUGGAGUAUGUGGUUUAAUUCGACGCAACGCGAAGAACCUUACCAAGUCUUGACAUCCUGCGACGCACAUAGAAAUAUGUGUUUCCUUCGGGACGCAGAGACAGGUGGUGCAUGGUUGUCGUCAGCUCGUGUCGUGAGAUGUUGGGUUAAGUCCCGCAACGAGCGCAACCCUUAUGGUCAGUUACUACGCAAGAGGACUCUGGCCAGACUGCCGUUGACAAAACGGAGGAAGGUGGGGAUGACGUCAAAUCAUCAUGCCCUUUAUGACUUGGGCUACACACGUACUACAAUGGCGUUAAACAAAGAGAAGCAAGACCGCGAGGUGGAGCAAAACUCAGAAACAACGUCCCAGUUCGGACUGCAGGCUGCAACUCGCCUGCACGAAGUCGGAAUUGCUAGUAAUCGUGGAUCAGCAUGCCACGGUGAAUACGUUCCCGGGCCUUGUACACACCGCCCGUCACACCAUGAGAGCCGGGGGGACCCGAAGUCGGUAGUCUAACCGCAAGGAGGACGCCGCCGAAGGUAAAACUGGUGAUUGGGGUG